CGGCACAAAAAUUUAACAUGUGAAAUUCGUUUUUUUUUUUUUGGAAAAUAUUCUAUAAUUUUUUCACGAAUAUGAGAGUCAAAUCUGAUCCAAAGUUGGAAAAUAACGAUUUGUUAUUUUCAUUUAAUAAAUAGCUUUCGUUAUAUUCUAGCACAUUGAAUUUUACAUACUAUGAUACCAACAAUGUUGCCUAAACUAUCUUGGAGAUACAUUGAGAAAUAUGGAGAUAUAUUGAUAUAUAUAUUUGCAUGCCAUUAUUCGUGAAGACACUUCUUUUCUUCGUUUGCCAUACACUAACACAUUGAACUUUACAUACUAUGAUACCAAUAAUAUUGCCUAAACUAUCGUUUGAGUUACAUGGAGAAAUAUGGUGAUAUACAUAUAUAGAUUGAGGACGACGGUACCACGCCCUCUGAUUGAAGGACGCGCAGUUUGCGUCGCAUAACGCUGCAUGCCAAAACAGAAAGAAAAUACAUCGAUGGACUGAAAAUAGGUUUCUGCCCAUGAACAGAGAUUAGGCACCGAAUUUUGCAAAUAUCCCAAACGGAAACUAUUGAAAAAUGUUGUCAAUUCAGUCCAGCCUGCCUACACCAUUGAAUAUUAUGUCGUUAUAUAUAAAUGCUGCUUGUAUCCAAUA
rnacentral:sRNA from 1 species